CAAAAACAUGUCCUUUUGAUUAAGAUCUAAGGUCUUGCCUGCCCAAUGAUUAUUUAAAUGGCCGCAGUAUUUUGACUGUGCAAAGGUAGCAUAAUCAUUAGUUUCUUAAUUAGGAGCUAGAAUGAAUGGUUUAAUGAAAAAUUUUCUGUCUCGGUAAAAUUUUAUUAUAAUUUAAAUUUUAAGUUAAAAUGCUUAAAUAAAUUAUAAAGACGAGAAGACCCUAUAGAGUUUUAUAAUUUAUUAUAAAUGAAUUUAUUGGAUUAAAUUAAUAAUUUUUAAUUUAUUAUUUUGUUGGGGUGAUAUAAAAAUUUAAAAAACUUUUUAUUUAUUAAUACAUUGAUUUAUGAAUAAGUGAUCUUUGAUUUAGGGUUAUAAGAUUAAAUUACCUUAGGGAUAACAGCGUAAUUUUUUUUGAAAGUUCUUAUUGAUAAAAAAGUUUGCGACCUCGAUGUUGGAUUAAAAUUUAAUUUUGGUGUAGAAGCUAAAUAUUUAGGUCUGUUCGACCUUUAAAAUUUUACAUGAUCU
rnacentral:rRNA from 1 species